UCUUCUGAGCUGUGGAGGCAUGAUUGUGCUGGUCUGUGGUCCAUCCCCCAGAACUUUGUCCAGUCUCCCUUCAGUAUAGAUUGUGCCCCAUUUGUCUCUGCUUCUCUAAUGAAGGAGGGGGGAAGGAAUGCACCAUGUUUGUCUUCAUGCAUCCCUCAGUGACUGGCCUGGUGCUUGGCACAUAGUAUUUAACGAAUGGACUCACAGUGAUGGCGUGUGUGAAGAAUCUUUUUUUGCUCCCCAUGUGUGAUUUCAUCAUUGCGGGGAACUCCUCGCAUGGAAAUUUCUCCCACUGUUCCCUUUGUACCUGAUAGCAUGUGGCACUGAGAGUUUGGCUUGCUCAUCAUUUGCUCAUGGUCAUAUAGGAAAUGUGUUAGAGGAAGGACUAGAACCCAGGACUUCUUGACUCUGAUGCCAUCCCUCUAUCUUCCAGGUCAUGCUUACUUCCAUUUUUGUAGCUUUGAAAGCAACUUCUCCACCAGUAUCCUCUGAGAAGAGGAGAGUCUGCUACAGGAGGGAGUCUUUGGAAGUCCCCUGACAGAAUCUUCUCAUUUCAUGCUAACCUCUUUCUCCACAAGAUCACAUACCUGACGUGCAUCUUCCUGAGUCAGCCCCUGGGGUUGCAGUUUGUACAUCACUGUGUGGCAGAAGGAAGGACACCUGUUCUUCCAGGACCAUCUCUUGCUUGAGAGAGUCACCCUCUUCAAUCAAGGACCUUUUCAUCUGCAGGUGUGCUUGAAUCCAGUAUUCUCUGCACUAUAUCAUGCUGCCUCAACUACCAGCUCUCUCAUUUUACAGAUGAUGAAACUGAGUCCCAGACCAGUUAAAGGACUUUGCCCAUUAUCUCAUAGGUAGCACCUGGAAGAGUUAGGUUUGAACUCAGGCGUUAUGACCAGUUCGCACCUGACACUUUCUUCCUCUCGAUGCUGUUAAGUUGAUCAGUCUUAGAGGAAGAGUUAGAAAGAGUCUAGUCCUACUAUAUUUUUUAAGUGAGGAAACUGAGGCCCAGAGAAGUCAAAUAAUCAUGAAGUUAAUUAAUCAAAAAUUUAAUAAGGACUGAUUAGAAAGAUUUCCUGGUCUCUGGAGGUUUACCAUUGGGGAAAAUAAUGUACAUGGUGGGAUUUCAACCCCAGUUAUUGGGCUCCCAAGCCAGCCCUCUCUUCCACUACCCUCGGCUAUCUCUCUCUUCCAUGUUCUUGCCAAUAGCCUUGAUUUAUACACCCAUUAAAUCAUCUCCCCCCAUUUCUCCUGCACCCCCAAGCCAGAUUUUCCUUUUUUUUUUCUUCUGGAGAAACAAGUCACUGACAUGUUCUCAUGGCAGAGAAUGGACCCCACCUUGAGAGGGGCAAACUCUUCUCCUUCUUCUAUGCCUUCACUUCUCCUCAACCCAGACUUCUCUCCUCUGCCUCUCUGUUCUGCCCCCUCCUCCCUCAGGGUGAGGGGAAUAGAUGCAACCCUGGGGUUUCGCUUCUAGCCAAAAGAUCAACCUUUGGCUUCAAGAUGGAAACACAUUUGAGAUUCAGACAAGGAAGGGGUGCGUAAGCUCAGUGGAUCACUAUGGAUUUGUACUUGAAUUUUUUCUCUUAAAUUUCAAUUUAAAAGCCAGCUUGUCAUCCAAGAGGGUGUUUCUCCUUUUUCCACUUUGAUCAUCUCCAGUGAAACAGGGAUGCUUGGCAGUGGCAGUUUAUUGCUUGGCCUUACAAAAAAUUCAAAGGCAGCCAUGAUCCCUGGGAGGAAGAGAGGCAAGCUCUUUUUUUAUUGGUGCUGCAGCACAUGUCUGAACUGGGAGGAAUUCAGCUUCAUUGUGGGGAGGAGAAGGGAAGCAAAGAGUCCUGGUAGGAGUUACUUCCUCCUCAGCGAUUUCUCCGUCUCUAUUAUUCCCCUCUCUCACCCUUUAACAACCUCUACUAAGCCUCAGUCUGGGAAAUGGAGAGACAAAGAAUGUUUUGAUUAAAAUAUAUUAUUGGACAAGUUGCUGAGUUUUGACUUCCACAGAAAUGAAAACACCUUUGAGAGCUCUAGAAAAAUACUGUCCCAGGGGAGUUGGGCCUUUGCUUUGAAUACUUCCUUUAAUUAAUAAAUCAACAGAAGAACAAUUGUGGUUUGAAGCACUGUGCAUAGGAUUAUGGGCAGAGAUGUAACUAAGGUAGUGCAAUCAAAGCUUUGGCUCAGGGUACAGAAAUUUGGAAAGUAUUUACCUUGUGUGUGAGAGAAAAAAAAGAAAACCUAAUCUUAGAGCCUAGCUAGCAGGAAUUAGUUAAAAUAGGGAGCUGAGAUGGGAAAGAUGGCCUUCUUCCCUGGUCACUGCAUCCCAGGUCAGUUCCUUCCACUAUGUUAAUUCCCCUAGUGAUUGCUUCCUGAGAAGCAAUGUCUGAAUAUCCCCAUUCUUCAGCUAAAUUUGUCAUUAAAAGUUUGAUUUGAAAAUGC